GGGGAGAGAGUGAGACAUCCAAACUCCAAAUAAUACAGACGUCAGGGGCGAGGGAGUUAACAUCUCGCCACCGCCGCAUGAACCCAAGUUCAAGUUGUGCGAUUGUUGUAACUAGGAUGAGAACUCAAGAGACCAUGCUGGGAGUCUCAUUUGCACCAGUGAUCUGCAGGCAUCAGUCUGCCAGUAGGAGGAGAAGGGGGGAGUCGCUGAGUAAUUUGCGGUAUAAAUUUGUGAAAUUGGUGAAAUUCUCUGGACUCAGACGCCGGCACACAAUGGCCUACCCUUGCGAAUGACGUCGACGUCACGGGAUCUUUAACGUCCACUCCGAAGCAGACAGCGCGCGGUUUUGUUAUGGUUAUUACACACCGCCGUAGUAUUAACCAGGGCGGCCGCUUGGACCCCGACUGCGAACCUCUGCGACAAAGCCGCGAACCUGGCAAACACCGCCACUAAUGAAGCCAUAAAAAUACACACAGUGAAGCCCUAAAGAUAACGGCUGAUGGUCAGUUCAUACAUUGACGCUGAAAUAAACACUAGGCACGUAUAUAAUAGACGUAAAGUACACGCAACAUUCCAGUGAGCCUUACGUGUGUGGUGAAUAAUCUGCUGCUUGUUGCUGAGCGAUGUCUCUGCACGCAGGAGCCGUUGUAAAACGUGGCAGGCCGAGUGGCCCACCACGGCACGUUUCGCCACUUGCUGCAGAAGUUCGCGGUUCGACCCUAACGGCCGCCCUGGUUAAUAUAUCGCGGGUGCAUUCAUGAAAAAUAUAUACUGUGCUGUGUGCCGUCAGCUUCAACGGUGGACAUUGACGAUCUCCCGUGAUGUUAUUGUCGGGGAUGCUGCCCUCCGUCUCCCCGCUCCCUUGAGAUCCGAGGCUCUCUUCUCCCGUACUCGGGGGAGGGUUACUGCCCUCCGGCUCUCCUACCUUCACCGUUGCUGCUCGAGGCAUGGUCCGCGGCUGGCGCUUAGCCACCGGGGUCAGUCCACACACCCUCUACGUGCCCAGGCACCAAGAAAUCCGACGCCGCUACCUGCCCGGCGCCGCGCACCAAUCACACGCGCGGGACUCGGGGUCGAGGGUCAGAAGGCAGGUCGCGUCCCCCGUGCGCGUGCAGCCGAUUGGAGGAGGUACCCCGGAGCGGAUUUGAAGGCCGUGUAAACAACCUCACGUGAGCGCCGCCCGUGCCCCCCUCGUCCUCGCUAACCACGAGCUACACCGUUAAUCUUGCGUACACAUUGUUCGUUUGCCUCGCACGCACAUUAGCUACGAGUCACACGUAGCGGCGAGCGUACCCAAAUGGGUAGAAUACCCGCUGGUGCGCAAACACAGGGUACUCCAACGAGCAGAUGGGUGUAAAUACAGUGCACCCCGGCGAUCCGACUCACGACACCCCACCCUCCUCUCCGCACUCACAGAGACAACACAACACGGUUUAUCCUCGACUGACGAUUUAUUCCCCGCGAAUAAACAAACCAAGCUACGCGUGUCAGUGUGGGUCAGCAGGGCAGGUAUAACCUACCCCCCGGUGACUCAGUCUGUCUUGCCUCUCGCUCCACUUACUCUCCCCUAGAUAUUAAGCCCAAACUCGCCUCUCUCUUACGUAUUCGCGGCUCUACUCCGAUGUGCAGGAAGCCGUGGAAGGGCGAUGCUGCACGUAGUCUUCGUGGGGAACGAGGCCUGGCUGCGCUGGGACUCGUCUCACGGACGAUCUAGUGGCUGACGCGAUCACUCCUCCGAUCUUGACCCCUUGAAGAACACGACUGCUCCUCACUACCUGAGACAAUUCAAAGCUUUGACUUUCCGACGGCACCCGUGGGCCUCUGCCACAGACCUUCACCCAGGCACUCCUGGCCGGGAGCAGCUGCAGGAGCCAGAGCCAACGCAUAGAGUGGCGUCGUGUGGGGGUACCAGAGGGAGCGGGGAUCCAGCCCAGUCCUCUCUACCCUAAAAAAAACUGCUGCCAGCUGAAGCUGUGCAUGAAACAUGCCCUGUGAGCUGGAGAAAGAGAGAGAGAAACUCGUGGUUUUGGGCGCGGUCCUUUGUGUGGAGCCAGGAACCACCACAGCGUGGUCAGACCGGUGUGCGAACAGGUUCCAAGGAGAACACGCCAACCAGGAGUAGGGAAUCUCAGGAUAUUGAUCGACGGACCUCCCACGUGAUUGGCCCAGGGACGAAAUGAUAGACUGAGCAGCCCUAUAAAAGGGGUGCCCGCAUCGGCAGUGGGGGCUCAAGGCAGAAGCAGC